CACAACGAAACUUCCAAAAUCAAGUAUUUUUUUUGGCAUGAAAUGUGCUGUUCAAAAGCUAACCGGAGCUACGAGAGCGCCUUGACUCCCUCCCAUGAAAGCCAGGUUAAGUGCUCCACAGAGGUGUCCGUAUCUGGAAAUUGUCCGGCCAGGGCGGCUAGUGGCAGGGAGCUGCUCCGCGAAAUGCGCCCAGCAGGUGGUGGAGCCACAACGUGAUGCUGCUUCUGUGAUAAUGGUUAGCCCCAUCCGAUCCCCGCCGGCUGCCACAUCCGACGCUGGCCUGCCAAUGCCCGGCACUUUGCAUAUAAACGCUCGCUAAUGGACACCAAAGCGAGCGAGCCAGCGACCGCGAAUCCGUGACAAUUUUCGGCACAGCGGUGCGCUUUUCCAGAAAGCAGGAAAAUCAUCAAGAGACCUGCAGCCCGAGGAGACCUUCCAUCGCUGACAAAAGUCUCUGAGUUUCAAAGACCCAGAACCGAAGCUCAUGAUGCCACUGCACUGAUAAUCUGGACUGCAGGCAGCCACCAAUAAAUACAGCUGAAUGGGGGAGUUUUUAGAAUAAACAACGCGUGAAACAGUGCUUUGAAAGUUCAAGAUGAUAAUAGCAUAGUAACAGUAGACCAAAGAGGUCAAUAAAUCAAAUGGUCUUAAAGAUAAGUUCGCCUUGAGAUAGGGGCAGUUAUCCAAAAAUUAUAUUUAUUAAACCUUGGCUAUAUUGUACACAUUCAAUUAAAUGUUUGCAAGUCCUACAAGGCAAGUAUAUUCUCUUCAGCAUCGCCAGUCGAUCU